GAAAGUUCUGAGAGUUGAUUUUUAUCAACUGAUGAAGUCUUCCCAGAGCCUCAGGCCUGAGUAAGGCAGGACACUAGGUGUGGGAUGCAGGACCCAGGAUGUUAGAUCAAGGACACAGGAUGUUGGAUACAGAGAUUUCCGCGGGUAAAGUAGGGAACCAAGGAGAGAAGUGUCACCAGAACAAGCUGGAGCCCAAGGAAGAAGGAGAAUGAGCUUUCUCCGAAGAUAAGCAAGAUAAACAAGGGUACCUUCCUGUAGCCUUCUAUCUCCGCACCCCACUCACCUCCAGCCCUCUCACGACGAGCCUGUGCCUAACACCUCUCCCAGCCAAAGGAAUCAAGAUUCUGUAAGACCUAAGUAACUCUCUUCCAGGGUUCUCUCUUCCAAAGGAGGGUUCUUAACACCGAAUUUGGGAUCUCAAGAAAAAGUUUGGUGAGGAUGGAGGGUGUUCCCCACAAGAAACCUCAGAGAGCCAGAAAUCCUGAGUCCACUGCAGGCAGGCCCUGUCUGCACUCACAGAUGCCCUGUGCCAGUCUGAUCAG
ensembl:lncRNA